CAUGUUUUCAUGGAUCAUCAAAAAGGCAAGCACUAAUGUUGCAGAGCGGCUCACCCCCAUGGCACAGUGAACAAAAACUUUACCUGCAAAAGGAAGAGAUGCAGCAAGAUCCUGCAGUGGAAUACGUGGGCCCUUUUUGCAACACUGCUGUUUCAGACCCAGGAGGCUCAGUCCAGACAGAGGCAGAAUGCCAUCAAGAAUUAAGAGUUCAAAGACAUUCCAGGAAGCCAUCCUCUGAGACUUCAGGAGCAUUCCUUCUGCCAGGAUCUCAUUAUUUGAAAUUGCUGUUCUCACCUCCAGAGAACACUGAUGAGAGACACUUGAGACUGGAUAGAGCUUCUGGAGGCAAUCCAGGCAGAUUAACCUCCUUGCUUCAUGGGGAGAAGGCAAGGAGGCAAACACUUUGAAACCCUUCUGAAGUUAACCAUCAGUCACCAAGCAUCCAGAGCACGGGGGUGCACCCUGACAGGUCUUGCUGUGCUCCACACCUCAGCUGUGCUUCUUGCAGAGGUAGUGCUUCACACUAUGGCUCUUUGUCCCCCUGAUGGAAAAAUCCAGAUGGAAAGAAGUGUAGUUCACAGGAAAAUGAUCGUUUCCUCCACUCGUGGUAGGAGAAGACUCCAAGCAGUGCAAGCACCCUCACCUUGCUGCUGGAAGAGAGGCAGGCACUGGAUGAACGACAUGCCUGUGCACUGGCUGCAGCAUAGACUGGCUGCAAUAUGGGCUGCUGGGCGUCACAGUGGACGAGAAAGAGCGGUCAGCUCAGACACCUCCUCUCUCUUCUCCAGGGGAAACUGACCCAUUAGCCACAUGGUUGACACAGAACUUUUAACUGAUGUGAUGAUGAGGGAAUACAACUGAUAAUACAGAUGCCUGUUAGCUGGACAGCAACACCACUUUCUCAUGAGAUGAUGCUCAGACAGACCCCAGUGCCUUCUACUCUUGGAAUUCUGGUCCUGCUUGGCUUCUUAAGGUAUUGUUCUUCAUAUUAUUCUAUUAGUCAAAAAGACUUUGGUCUCAGGUUGGUUCUGUGGUUAGCAGCAGAAUAACCUUCAUCUUGUGAGGAAAGCAAGUGAUGGCAACUGGAACUGCUGGUGACACCGUAAGCACGCUGUCAGCUUACAGGGAUUUCUAUUGCCCGUCAGCUGCCCACCCAGAGGUACUGGGUACCCCCUGCUAUUUGGAAGUGGAUUAAGCCUUCCUGAAAAUGAGUAAGUUUAAUAGAUUGUGAGACGCUUUUGAAGCUGCCUCAUCCAGAACAUCCUACAUCCCAGGUCCUUUUGCUAUACUUUCACCAACUGAUCAUUUUUGCCAAAGCAUCUCAAGGAAUGCUGAAUCCUGUUCUGGAAUUGAGGUGAGCAAGCACAAACCCUUUACAUGUUGAAGUUUUAGUAGGCAAGUAUGUAUUUGGGGAAACAACAUUCUAUAGGUAUCUCUGUGCUUGAAAAGAAAACCCUCUCUGACCUUUUAGUAUUGAAGACUUUACAUUAAAUGCUAAUUUGCAUUUUUUGCUUUUGGGGUUCUUUUUUGUCUUUCCUUCCUUCCUUCCUUCCUUUCUUCUCUCCUUCCCUCCUUCCCUCCUUCCUUCCCUCUCUCUUUCUCUCUCUCUUUUUCUUCUUUUUGAGUGAAGAUAAUAUUGAGAAACAAUUCAGUACAGAUAGUUCAUUCCUAAAACAAAGGCAAAUUCAGGGCUGUCAAGGAAUUUGAAAGCCCUGGGUUAAAGAAUUUUGCAAAGAUUUCUGCUGAGUAAGGGCUAUAUACCUGAGAGGGAAAAAACACUCACAC